rnacentral:rRNA from 1 species
GGGUUGUGAGGUUAAGCGACUAAGCGUACACGGUGGAUGCCCUGGCAGUCAGAGGCGAUGAAGGGCGUGCUAAUCUGCGAUAAGCGCCGGUAAGGUGAUAUGAACCGUUAUAACCGGCGAUACCCGAAUGGGGAAACCCAGUGUGACUCGUCACACUAUCAUUAACUGAAUCCAUAGGUUAAUGAGGCGAACCGGGGGAACUGAAACAUCUAAGUACCCCGAGGAAAAGAAAUCAACCGAGAUUCCCCCAGUAGCGGCGAGCGAACGGGGAGGAGCCCAGAGCCUGAAUCAGCAUGUGUGUUAGUGGAAGCGUCUGGAAAGGCGCGCGAUACAGGGUGAUAGCCCCGUACACAAAAGCGCAUGUGUUGUGAGCUCGAUGAGUAGGGCGGGACACGUGGUAUCCUGUCUGAAUAUGGGGGGACCAUCCUCCAAGGCUAAAUACUCCUGACUGACCGAUAGUGAACCAGUACCGUGAGGGAAAGGCGAAAAGAACCCCGGCGAGGGGAGUGAAAAAGAACCUGAAACCGUGUACGUACAAGCAGUGGGAGCACAGGUUUACCUGUGUGACUGCGUACCUUUUGUAUAAUGGGUCAGCGACUUAUAUUCUGUAGCAAGGUUAACCGAAUAGGGGAGCCGGAGGGAAACCGAGUCUUAAUUGGGCGUUAAGUUGCAGGGUAU